GCUCUAAACUAUAGAAGCAUGGAAGUUUAUGUGGACCUUAGAUUGUUUUGAAAAAUAAUUGAUUGAUUCAAGAAAGCAAAGAGCUUGGAACCUUAACUGUCUCAUUGUAAUCCUUCACCAAGUUCUGGUUUGUGAAGGUCUGCGAAUAACAGUUGAUGAAAAAGUUGCAGUUUUGGAAAUGACUGUCAGCAAUCAAGACGUGAAAAAGAAGUCUUUUAUUCAUAAAAUCUUCACCACAAAGGAGAAAGAAGGAAGCGGCUCUUCAGAUUUCUCAGGUGAGUCUCUAAUGUGUUUCUUUCUGGUUUCAAUUGAAUCACUUAUCACCAUUGUUUUCCGUUGGAGAAAAUCUGGAGAGAGAGAGAGAGGAUAUUCCUUGCAAUUGGGGACUCAUAUUAGAGUUGAUGUUAUCUUUCUUUUUGGAUA